CCUACGGGGGGCAGCAGUGAGGAAUAUUGGUCAAUGGACGAGAGUCUGAACCAGCCAAGUAGCGUGAAGGAUGACUGCCCUAUGGGUUGUAAACUUCUUUUAUAUGGGAAUAAAACGUUCCACGUGUGGGAUUUUGUAUGUACCAUAUGAAUAAGGAUCGGCUAACUCCGUGCCAGCAGCCGCGGUAAUACGGAGGAUCCGAGCGUUAUCCGGAUUUAUUGGGUUUAAAGGGAGCGUAGGUGGAUUGUUAAGUCAGUUGUGAAAGUUUGCGGCUCAACCGUAAAAUUGCAGUUGAAACUGGCAGUCUUGAGUACAGUAGAGGUGGGCGGAAUUCGUGGUGUAGCGGUGAAAUGCGUAGAGAUCACGAAGAACUCCGAUUGCGAAGGCAGUUCACUGGACUGCAACUGACACUGAGGCUCGAAAGUGUGGGUAUCAAACAGGAUUAGAUACCCGUGUAGUC
rnacentral:rRNA from 1 species